rnacentral:misc_RNA from 1 species
CUGUAGCUCAGAUUAAAGGUGUGU